CUGGUGACAAAAAGAAGGACAAAAGAUAUGUUUUAGAAAGCCGCUCUAUACACAUAAAAUUUGCUGUCAGGAAUUCGUAUCACCCAGAGCAUAUCCUGUUACACAAGUACUGUUAAGUCACUAGUCACCAUGUUGCCAGUCAUAUAUCUGCCUUACUUAGUAGAAACAGACUAAUUUACUAUUUUUUAUGUUAUUUUUUAAGACAGAAUUUAUUUCUAAUUCACAAACUGGAUUCAAUGGAGGUGCAUCUGGUGCACUUAUUUCAAAGAACUACAAAGCAACACUGGGUGUUUGCAUCACAUUUUCAUUUUCCUCUUAUUACCUUUAAAGAAGGUAACUUGAAAGUAUUGGCAUGGAAAGAAUAUGCAAUGUUAUACUGAACGCAGGAUUAACUGAAAAUAUUUCUUUAUUUCUACUUGUGGAGUCAAACUUGCCAUGGCAUCAAGCGUAACUUGGCAUUAAGAAAGAUACAUCUAGUGACACUCCAAAAUCUUCUAAAUCUGGAGACAACACAGUACUAUACAGGUCCACCCCAAAGCAAGUCCCACAAAGUUCAGUGAGGCAGUAAUUGAUGACAUAGUGGGGUGGUAGUACUUACCACACCUCAGAUUUGUCAUGUUGUUGCUGCUUUCCAGGAGAUGGAGGGGCAAGCCAGUGAUGGCAAGGUCAGCAUGCUGCAAGCACACUGGCAAAAGCACCAGAUUGGAUCUGCCCAUACAGACUUUACUGCCACCCCCUACCUCUUACUUAGCAGCAACAUGACUGAUGGUUGGUCAAAUGAGUGCCCUACUACACCAUCCACUGUUCCUCCAGGGCCAGUGUUGACUGUUAAUAUGGCACAAACAUCACACAUUUGUCCCACUGCCCUCCUACUUCCAGUCCUCCCCUGUAAGCCCAUUUCUUCUUUUAUGCACCAGUGUGAACUGCAACAAUAUAGUUUCAUUCAGUAUUAACUGAGCUGAAGUUUCUCAGAAAAGGCUUUGCUGAGAAUUUUCUCUUCCUUCUCAACACUGACUAUUGUAGAAAAUAUCCACCAUCCUCUUUGAUGAUAUUCAGCUUGAUGCCCUACUACUUUCAUCCCCAUCGAAUGGGGCAGACUACUUUUGUUCAGCCUUCCUUUAAGGCCUGACUCUUUGGGAAGACUUUUGUGGCUAGUUGAUUAAAUAUAUUUAGUUUCCAAUGGUUUGUUUUUAGUCCUGUUUUGAUUUAUGAGUUUCUGCUGCACUGUAGUUUUGAUAAUUUUUUACUAUGGUAUUAUUUUUCUGUGUUUUUGUUUUAUUUGUUUUUUGUAAUAUUUCUAAAUUACUUAGACAAAGAAAACUCAAAGUGGUAUUCAACAGUAAAAACACAUGUUGUAACAAUUUAAAACUAAGAAACUAAAAACCAAGAAACAGAUAAUAGUGCAGAGUUUCUAGUUCAAUUGGUCAGAGAAAGCCCAAGCAACCAGAUGGGAUUUUACUACAUAAAUUCUGCACCAGCUGCAGUUUCCAGACCAUUCUCGUGGUAGCCCUGUAUAGAGUUCAGUAAUUCAAAUAGAACAUCAGCAAUGAAUUAAUUUUAUUGUUUAAAUGUUUUGAUAUCAGUUCCUUGAUGUCAGCGCCCUACACAUGUAGGUUUUAUCUUUUCACACAUGUUCAACUCAUGGACAUCAAGGGGGCUAUUGGGAUGGGGCUACCUAGAUCUGCCCAGCUCAUAUGUUGAUUUUAACAUGUGAGCUAGCUUCUGAAAAGGACUUUAUUCCUAGACUGCUUUAAAGACUGCUUUCAACACCAGGUGAUUUUGAGCUCAGCCUAGAAAGAAACUGGUAGCCAGUGAAGGCAACUUAAUGCAUACAUAAUAUGCUCUGGUUUGCAAACACCACCCUCCUUCCCACUCCAGAUUGCAGUCAUGCAAACACAGGCUGAACUAGGUGAAGCUUCCUAACUAGCUUCAAAGAUAUAGUUUGGAUUUAAAGAUAUUAGCUUCUUUCAACGAUAUUUUACAUUGCCUUAAUUUUAUUGUACAUAUUUAUCUCUCACUGUCCCUGUGCAAAAGAUAUGUAGGCAGAAUGAUUGUCUGAAGCACUAGUAGCAAGUCACUGAGGAUAAACUGUCACACAUUAAAAUAAACAAUUACUCCAAAGAGACAAAUAAUUGGAGAUACUAAAUAUCAAGCCACGGAUUAUAGUAGCAGAGAAUGCUUACAUUUGUUGAAAAGGGAGUUAUAAACAGAGACAUUCCCUUGCUUGUUUCCCCUUUCUAAAUCUUUUUGAAUGGGUUUGGGGAGAGCUGUGCCUUCUACUUGAGAUAGUAUUGAAACUGAACAUGGGAAACCAAACCAACUAUGAACAUAUUAGAUGGUAGUGAGCAAACUGCAUUGCAACCUGUUAGCCGGAUAAAGAAGACACAUGGGGUGGGUUGAACUAGGACUGCUUUAUUUAAGAUUAAAACCCAUAAAAAAAAACCCUGCUGAGGGAAGCACUACUGGUGCAGAAGCAAGCAUGAAUCUGAAAUAAAUUGCAGCCUUUAGGGCAACCAAAAGCCCUGCCUGCAGGACCUGGAUGAAAUGCUGUCCAGCCUGCCUCCCAUUCCCAAGACCCACCAUGAAGGAAGGCCUAUGCUAUUCCACCCCACACGCCAUGAGGCCCCAUAGCUUUGGUUCAAUGAAGCAGUUUAGCCUCAAGGGCAGCCCCUAUCCCACCCCAGAGCCCAGAGAGCAAGCUUCAGGAUGAGCCCAUCACCCAAAAAGGUGCGUAAAGGGGGUCACUACUCCCCUUCCCUCACCUGAACCACCAGAGGUAAUGGGAUUAAAGAGCAGUUUAACCUAAUUAACAACAUAGGAGUCCUUCUAGUGCCCACCACCCAGUCAGUAGGGCAGGGAUUUUCAACCAGUGUGCUGUGGCACCCUGGGGUGUCUUGAACGAUGGACAGGGGUGCUGUGGGCAACGCUGGCCUCUGUCCCUCUUUCCCUCUUUCCUUCCCUCCUUCCUCUGAUGCCCUCUCAUGUCUCUGCCUCACAAAGACUUGCACACAUGUUUAUUGCGGUAGCCCUGGCUAUAAGCUCCCCAGGCGAAUGGUGCCUCUGGGAAACACCUCUCUUUGGGGCAGAGGGGGCAGCUCAGAGACCUGGGGGGGGGGCAGUGGCUGCCUAGAGGACUCCCAAGUAGAGGGGAGAGAAGAGGAGUUGAGGGAAUACUCCACAAGGGAGGCUGUUCAAAAAGGGGUAAGGGGCUGCCAGUUCUGCAGGCAAGGGGUGACAUAACUGGGCUCCUGAGCCCCACAGGGGUGCCUCAGAAAGAAUGUAGUUGGUCAAGGGAGCCGUGGACUCAAAAAGGUUGAAAACCUCUGCAGUAAGGAGCAGGACAGACCUUCAAAUAGAGAAUUGUCCUCUGUAAAGUAACACACAUGGCCACCCUAUUUGUGCUAGGGCAAAGCUCUGGAAUAUGUGAAAGAAUAAUAUGCCACACAUCUAUAAUUGGAAAGGUUUUGUGAGACGGUGAUGAAGCAUGUUCCUGGCUGUAGCAUAAAAUGACAAGUUCACUGAGAUAUCCACAUGCAUGGGAAAAUCACUGGUGCAGUGCCCAAUAGAGCAAAAGACUGCCUUCCCUAGCUGUGAUUCAGCCUUAUUGAUCCAGAGACACCUGCUGCAGCAGCAGUCUACCUUGACAUGCUGCUGCUGCAGCAGCAGCUGCUGGGAUUUAUGGAGUGCAAAAGACUAUCUGUAAGGCUAGAUCAGCGACAGGGGCUGGAUCUCUAGACACAUUAAAAAACGUGUUUCAGGAAAACACAUUGUAAACUUCAUAAUGAGAAAUCAUGUUGGCAAAAGACGGGACUCCACAUCGCCAUCUGGUGUCACAGUGCUAUAGUGCAUAUAAAACACUAAUAAUAAUAACAAAUUUUUUAUUUAUACUCCGCCCUUCCCGGUUCAGAAAACCGGGCUGAGGGUGGCUAACAACAAAAUUAAAACACUUAAUUGUAAAGGCAGCAUAAAAUACAGUAUAAAAACAUGAAUAACAAUAAAAUUCAAAAAUCAAUUUGGGGGAAAUCCAUCUAAUAAGCAUUAGAUAGUCACUAGGGCUAGCUGGCUGAAUUAGUCCUACUAGAGAGCCCUGUAACAGUAAGAGCAUAAUGAAAUGGACUGUUGAGGUUCUCAUGCACAGCAUGCAUUGAGGACCUGAGGUCCAUACAAAUACCUAAGGUAGCACUUCCAGCUUCCUAGUAUUAAAUUUUAAGUAAUGAGUCAGUUAAAUGUUACAUUUCAAAAGGAUGUUUAACACACCAGUUAAAAAUACUAAGUGUUUUGUAAUGUUUAAAAGGUAGGAAAUUAAUUUUUUAACAUGACAAUGUGGUGAUUUGUUCAUUGUAUUAAUCCUUCCAUAUUAGCUACAAGAGUGAUUUGGCACUAGAGAUGCAUUGGUGCCUUAUUAGUUUAUAACCAUCAAAGAAAUAAUUAAAUUGUUGUGGUUCACAUUUAUAAUGAAGUGGUUAGCAGUUAAAUUUCAGUGUUGCGUGUAUUCUAAUAAGGCUACCUGCAGGAUAUUUAAUUUUGAACACAUUACCUUCUUUGGAUAUUGGUUUAACAGAUGUUCUGUUAAGAUAACGGUGAAAUUAAAUUAGUUUUCUUCUCAAAGCAUCUGGUUAACUUUGUAGGUAAAUGCCUUUGAGCACAAAAUCUGACCAGGAUUUUUUGGACAAAUAGCUAUCAAAAUGUUUUAAGUAAAUGACUUCAUUUUAUUUUUCCAACUUCUAUUACUCAGGGCAGAUUUGACAUGGUUGAUCAUAUAUCUAACAAAUGAAAAUUGAAAAUAGUGCUGGGAUCCAACAGCGUAGGGUUAUAUUGAAGGUAGUUUCAUGGGCAGAUACUAUUAAGCAUGCUUGUGGUUCCAGUUAAAUUGGUUUGCAGCAUAUUUUUUUUAACCUCAGCAUCUCUACCAGUUAGAAUGGAACUGAUUACAAAAUUAAAUUCCCCAUUACUGUAGAUACAGCACAUUUGGGCAAGCUUUCAUGAACACUUCCAUUUUUGUACUCUCAACUAAUAAUUCAUAUGGUAAUGAGAAGUUAAAGGUGAUAGAAUAGAGGGGAAAUUGUAUUUAUGGUCUGUUAGAAAUGGUUGGAUACACAGCAGCCUGCACUUGAGGUUUUGGGCUAGUUUUUUAUUAUUUAAAUGUAAAGAUGCCCAACCUUGAAAUCAUAGGGUGGAUAACAAUAAGAUAAAAAAGAGGAAACUAGCCCUUCUUGAAUUUCACAUUUGAAAUACUAUUAUUAAAACAGCCAAAAACAUAUUGCUGCUGAAACUUCCAAUACAGUUUAACCACCGUUCCCAAACUUCAGCCCAGAUACCACAAAAUGUUUUGGAACAGUUCAAAAAAAGGGGGUUACACCAGUAGUAGUUUUUAAGUAGUUUCUAUGAGAAGGAGUUACACACUUGUAAAACAGCUGUUGAAAAUGCUUUUCUAUAUGAUCUAAUAAAGUGCCAGACUCUGUUCGUUAGUUGUCUUCCUGCCUUCCCUUUGUAUAAUCUGCAUGCUAAUUCAUUGGUCAAUGGAAAACUUUAAACAGAUUGCUAGUGCUUGGUU